AUUUACCUGACAGUGUUUCGACUAUGAACCAUCCCUCAUGUUCACACUGUAGAUGAGAUCCUGGACUCAUGUUGAUGAAAUUGACAAGUUUAUUGAAGUUGUAUGUCGUUCCUUAUACACCAGUCAGGAGACAACAGCUUCAGGGAUCGCCAUUGAUCAAGACUUGGAUCCUGCCGGUGGAUUUACAUGUUAGAUUCAAUGACUGGAUCCUUCAUCAGGUUGAGUCCAUUUCAUUGUGUUGUCAUUGAUUAUGUUGCUGCAGCGCAACCUGAGUACAAGGUACUGUACAUUGUUUUCUAUUUGAGAUCAUGUACAAAAACAAUGAUUUCUGACUUUUAAAACAUUUGAGACACUCCUGAAAUGAAAACAAUUUUAGUUUUGCGAGCUUAAUUUUUUUUCUCUGUCACUCUAAGUGACAGAAGUGGUCCAAACAGCAGCUGAACUCUCGUCUUUUGAAAUGCUCAUUGAUUUGCCCCCUGGGCAGAGUUCACAGUCCAGUACUCACUGAAGACCUGAGGAUGAUACAGCAUGUGCCCAUCUGACUGUCAGAUUCAGCAACGUGUAUCGUCAUGGGCUGCUUUAUUAUUAUUUUUUAUUACCAUGUCCACAAUUUGGCAGAGGACACCAGCCCAGUUACUCAUGAAUCUGUUCCCUGCUUCUCAAAGUGACUUGCACUGCAUUCAAUGUUUUUAUCAGUUUGUGCAUUUACUGAGAAUCGAAGUCAUGACCUCAGUGUUUGAGCUACAUAUGCCAUCUAAUAUAGUGAAGAGAAUGACAACAAAUGUGUCUGAGAUGUGAUAUAAAGAUAGGAAGACAGUAAUAUUAGUGAGAUUGAGACAGGUAGAGUGUGGAAAAUGAGAGGGGGAAAAAUGAUCAGUAAUUUCAAGUUCUGAGAUGAAAUGUGAUGCUUUAUUGGCCAAAAGUCUGUUCACAAACAGAAGCUGUGAGAACAUUACAGUUCAAUAAUGCAGUGUGGACCGCCGGACAGCAUCAUAUCACGAACAGUUGGUGCUGAGACUCGAGAAACUGACCAGAGAGAGAGAGAGAAUUAACGUCAAUUUUGCUGUUUGUGUAGCUUUGUGUGUCUUCUGUUUUGUAGUGAAAUACUGUUAAUUAGUACUAUGUUUUGGAGCUCUUAAAUUGUUUUCUUGUUUUAUUAAUUAUAUUUAGAGUCAAUUUUUGCUUAAGAUUCAUGUUGUGUCCUUAAUUGAGAUUCUU